AUAAGCCUACUGAAAAUGGAAAAUCACCACAAGCCUCUACAAAUAGUUGAUUACACAACUACUUGUCAUGCACCAGUAAACCACUACCAUAUCAAUCUGGAUAAAAAUAUUGUUUUGGGUGGCUAAGUGCUUUAAUAUUCAAUGUUUCCUUUUUCAUGAGAAGAAGUUUCUUUCUCCUUCAGCCAAAAUUCUCUCUUUAAUGAGUUAGAAUCCAACUAAAGAAUGUCUCUAAUUGCCUAAACUAAAAGGUAAUUCUGAUAGUGGUUGUCUUUUUCAGUUGACAAAGAAAGUGAUUAUAAUGUCAACUACUUUUCCACUUUGUUCAAUAGUAAUCCCCUAUCUCUGUCUCUGUGUGUGUGUGUGUGUGAGAGAGAGAGAGAGAGAGCAAAAUGGAUCCUCCAUCAAUUCAAGCAAUAGAGGCUUCAGGCAAUAAGAUCCAGGUAGAAGAUGAGCAGGACAAGAUUGUCAAUGAGUGCUGUUCUUGCUGUUUCGACUGCUCGGAGGGCUGCUUUGAAUUCUUAUGCUGCUCCAACCUUUGUUAGGUUUCUCCAUUGAACUGUAAUUCUCUCCUCUUUCUUUGUUUCAUCAAUGUCUGAGUUCUUCAUUCGGGGGAAAAUAGCUUGGGUAUAAUCAUAAAGAAUUGAAAUUAAAGAAAAUUCAAGGAUAUGAUGUGAUUAAACA